AUUGAACGCUGGCGGCGGGCCUAACACAUGCAAGUCGAACGAGUGGCGGACGGGUGAGUCAUGUCUGGGAAACUGCCUGAUGGAGGGGGAUACCUACUGGAACCGGUAGCUAAUCCCGCAUACCAUCGGAUGUGCCCAGAUGGGAUUAGCUAGUGGGGGGGGUAAAGGCUCACCUAGGCGACGAUCCCUAGCUGGUCGGAGAGGAUGACCAGCCACACUGGAACUGAUACACAGUCCAGACUCCUACGGGAGGCAGCAGUGGUGAAUAUUGCACAAUGGUCGCAAGCCUUAUGCAGCCAUGCCGCGUGUAUUAAGAAGGCCUUCGGGUUGUAAAGUACUUUCAGCGGGGAGGCGUUACCCGCAGAAGAAGCACCGGCUAACUCCGUGCCAGCAGCCGCGGUAAUAC
rnacentral:rRNA from 1 species